rnacentral:rRNA from 1 species
UACGAAGGGGGGCUAGCGUUGCUCGGAAUCACUGGGCGUAAAGGGCGCGUAGGCGGCUGUUUAAGUCGGAGGUGAAAGCCCGUGGCUCAACCACGGAAUGGCCUUCGAUACUGGACGGCUUGAGACCGGGAAGAGGACGGCGGAACUGCGAGUGUAGAGGUGAAAUUCGUAGAUAUUCGCAAGAACACCAGUGGCGAAGGCGGCUGUCUGGUCCGGUUCUGACGCUGAGGCGCGAAAGCGUGGGGAGCAAACAGG